rnacentral:rRNA from 1 species
GAUAAACGCUGGCGGCGUGCCUAAUACAUGCAAGUCGAGCGAACGGACGAGAAGCUUGCUUCUCUGAUGUUAGCGGCGGACGGGUGAGUAACACGUGGAUAACCUACCUAUAAGACUGGGAUAACUUCGGGAAACCGGAGCUAAUACCGGAUAAUAUUUUGAACCGCAUGGUUCAAAAGUGAAAGACGGUCUUGCUGUCACUUAUAGAUGGAUCCGCGCUGCAUUAGCUAGUUGGUAAGGUAACGGCUUACCAAGGCAACGAUGCAUAGCCGACCUGAGAGGGUGAUCGGCCACACUGGAACUGAGACACGGUCCAGACUCCUACGGGAGGCAGCAGUAGGGAAUCUUCCGCAAUGGGCGAAAGCCUGACGGAGCAACGCCGCGUGAGUGAUGAAGGUCUUCGGAUCGUAAAACUCUGUUAUUAGGGAAGAACAUAUGUGUAAGUAACUGUGCACAUCUUGACGGUACCUAAUCAGAAAGCCACGGCUAACUACGUGCCAGCAGCCGCGGUAAUACGUAGGUGGCAAGCGUUAUCCGGAAUUAUUGGGCGUAAAGCGCGCGUAGGCGGUUUUUUAAGUCUGAUGUGAAAGCCCACGGCUCAACCGUGGAGGGUCAUUGGAAACUGGAAAACUUGAGUGCAGAAGAGGAAAGUGGAAUUCCAUGUGUAGCGGUGAAAUGCGCAGAGAUAUGGAGGAACACCAGUGGCGAAGGCGACUUUCUGGUCUGUAACUGACGCUGAUGUGCGAAAGCGUGGGGAUCAAACAGGAUUAGAUACCCUGGUAGUCCACGCCGUAAACGAUGAGUGCUAAGUGUUAGGGGGUUUCCGCCCCUUAGUGCUGCAGCUAACGCAUUAAGCACUCCGCCUGGGGAGUACGACCGCAAGGUUGAAACUCAAAGGAAUUGACGGGGACCCGCACAAGCGGUGGAGCAUGUGGUUUAAUUCGAAGCAACGCGAAGAACCUUACCAAAUCUUGACAUCCUUUGACAACUCUAGAGAUAGAGCCUUCCCCUUCGGGGGACAAAGUGACAGGUGGUGCAUGGUUGUCGUCAGCUCGUGUCGUGAGAUGUUGGGUUAAGUCCCGCAACGAGCGCAACCCUUAAGCUUAGUUGCCAUCAUUAAGUUGGGCACUCUAAGUUGACUGCCGGUGACAAACCGGAGGAAGGUGGGGAUGACGUCAAAUCAUCAUGCCCUUAUGAUUUGGGCUACACACGUGCUACAAUGGACAAUACAAAGGGCAGCGAAACCGCGAGGUCAAGCAAAUCCCAUAAAGUUGUUCUCAGUUCGGAUUGUAGUCUGCAACUCGACUACAUGAAGCUGGAAUCGCUAGUAAUCGUAGAUCAGCAUGCUACGGUGAAUACGUUCCCGGGUCU